AAACCAUGAUUUAGACAUUUCCUCAACAACUCCUUGAAUCGAUCCCAUGCCUCAUGAAAGUUCUCAGAUUCAGUUUGCUGGAAAGCUAAAAUUUCAUGCUUAAGCUU